UACAGAGGUCUCAAGCGUUGUUCGGAUUCAUUGGGCGUAAAGGGUGCGUAGGUGGUGACGCAAGUCUGGUGUGAAAUCUCGGAGCUUAACUCCGAAAUUGCACCGGAUACUGCGUAACUCGAGGACUGUAGAGGAGAUCGGAAUUCACGGUGUAGCAGUGAAAUGCGUAGAUAUCGUGAGGAAGACCAGUUGCGAAGGCGGAUCUCUGGGCAGUUCCUGACACUGAGGCACGAAGGCCAGGGGAGCAAACGGG
rnacentral:rRNA from 2 species